AUGGCACGGCAAGACACUGAACGUGUAACAUGGACUGAGAGAGUCCAGCAGGCCCCAGGCUUACUGGUGGAGAGGGGGCACUCUGCUCAGAUGAACUGCAGUCACAACCUGCAUGGCAGUUACUACAACAUGUACUGGUUUCAGCAGUUAUCAGGGGAGAGUAUGAAGCUGAUCGUCCACACGGUGCCGUACAAGCCGCCUGACUUUGGGAACUUCAGCCAGGACAAGUACUCGGCCAGCAAGACUGUGAGUGAGAACGGAUCUUUCACAGUGAAAAAUGUGGAACCAAGCGACAACGGAGUGUAUCUCUGUGCUGUCAGUUCAGUUCACACAGUGAUGCAGACAGCUGUCAAGCUGCACCAAAAUGAUGACUGGCACGCUGCCUGA